UACGUAGGGUGCAAGCGUUGUCCGGAAUUAUUGGGCGUAAAGAGCUCGUAGGCGGUCAGUCGCGUCUGCUGUGAAAACUCGGGGCUUAACCCCGGGCCUGCAGUGGGUACGGGCUGACUAGAGUGCGGUAGGGGAGACUGGAAUUCCUGGUGUAGCGGUGAAAUGCGCAGAUAUCAGGAGGAGCACCGGUGGCGAAGGCGGGUCUCUGGGCCGUAACUGACGCUGAGGAGCGAAAGCGUGGGGAGCGAACAGG
rnacentral:rRNA from 1 species